rnacentral:rRNA from 1 species
AUUGAACGCUGGCGGCAGGCCUAACACAUGCAAGUCGAGCGAGCGGCGGACGGGUGAGUAAUGUAUGGGGAACUGCCUGAUGGAGGGGGAUAACUACUGGAAACGGUAGCUAAUACCGCAUACCAUCAGAUGUGCCCAGAUGGGAUUAGCUUGUAGGUGGGGUAACGGCUCACCUAGGCGACGAUCCCUAGCUGGUCUGAGAGGAUGACCAGCCACACUGGAACUGAGACACGGCCCAGACUCCUACGGGAGGCAGCAGUGGGGAAUAUUGCACAAUGGGCGCAAGCCUGAUGCAGCCAUGCCGCGUGUAUGAAGAAGGCCUUCGGGUUGUAAAGUACUUUCAGCCGGGAGGCGUUACUCGCAGAAGAAGCACCGGCUAACUCCGUGCCAGCAGCCGCGGUAAUAC